rnacentral:tRNA from 1 species
AAAGAAUUAGUUAAAUUAUAACAUAAAAAUGUCAAAUUUAAAUUAUUAUACAAUAUAAUAUUCUUUU